rnacentral:rRNA from 1 species
UACGUAGGUGGCAAGCGUUAUCCGGAAUUAUUGGGCGUAAAGAGCGCGCAGGUGGUUAAUUAAGUCUGAUGUGAAAGCCCACGGCUUAACCGUGGAGGGUCAUUGGAAACUGGUUGACUUGAGUGCAGAAGAGGGAAGUGGAAUUCCAUGUGUAGCGGUGAAAUGCGUAGAGAUAUGGAGGAACACCAGUGGCGAAGGCAGCUCACUGGACUGCAACUGACACUGAGGCUCGAAAGUGUGGGUAUCAAACAGG